rnacentral:lncRNA from 1 species
AGAACGGGUAAAUUAGUUAGUGCUAAAAUUUUGGCUUUAGUAGAUUAGAACCGGUAUUGAUUAAAUCAGGAAACCAAUAGUCAUGUGAAAGGUUCCAAGAUAUAGUUAACUGACAAAAACCAGUUGGAAUCUGAAAAAGGGUAUAGUAGGAGAAAGAUUGAUUAGCUUAGGGCUAGACUUGUGAGUCUUAGAGCCGGGGUAUGCUUGGGUGCUACCUCUAUUUUUUCUAUUUCUUU